GACGAACGCUGGCGGCGUGCCUAAUACAUGCAAGUCGAACGCUGAAGGAGGAGCUUGCUCUUCUGGAUGAGUUGCGAACGGGUGAGUAACGCGUAGGUAACCUGCCUGGUAGCGGGGGAUAACUAUUGGAAACGAUAGCUAAUACCGCAUAAGAGUAGAUGUUGCAUGACAUUUACUUAAAAGGUGCAAUUGCAUCACUACCAGAUGGACCUGCGUUGUAUUAGCUAGUUGGUGGGGUAACGGCUUACCAAGGCGACGAUACAUAGCCGACCUGAGAGGGUGAUCGGCCACACUGGGACUGAGACACGGCCCAGACUCCUACGGGAGGCAGCAGUAGGGAAUCUUCGGCAAUGGACGGAAGUCUGACCGAGCAACGCCGCGGGAGUGAAGAAGGUUUUCGGAUCGUAAAGCUCUGUUGUAAGAGAAGAACGAGUGUGAGAGUGGAAAGUUCACACUGUGACGGUAUCUUACCAGAAAGGGACGGCUAACUACGUG
rnacentral:rRNA from 1 species